AUGCUCUCACACUGAAAACUGCAUCAGGAUGAUGUUUCCAAUAACUCUGAUUGUCAUGUUGGGUUUUCUGACUCAGGAGUCGUUUGCCAACAAUUUUCUGACUCAGGCUGAUAAAUACAAGUCUGUCAGUGUUGGAGGGACUGUGACCAUCAGCGCCACAGGGAGUUCAGAUAUUGGUGAUGAUCUCAGUUGGUACCUUCAGAAACCUGGACAGCCUCCUAGACUUCUUAUAUACGACUCAUCAACUGUCUACUCAGGAACUCCAUCUAGAUUCAGAGGCAGUAGAUCUGGUUCUCAGUACACUUUAACCAUCAGUGGAUUUCAGGCUGAAGAUGCUGGAGAUUAUUACUGUCUUGGUGCCCAUGGUGAUGGGUUCACUUUUGGUGGAGGAACCAAACUCACCGUUGACUUGGGUGUGGUGCGUCCCACCCUGAGCGUCCUCCCCCCCUCCAGAGAGGAGCUGCAGCAGAGCAGUGCCACACUGGUUUGUCUGGCCAGCGGGGGCUUCCCCUCGACCUGGAGUCUGGGCUGGAAGGUGGGGGGCAGCAGCAGGUCCUCGGGGGUGUCCCGCAGCGUGGAGGUCCUGGGGGGGGACGGCCACUACAGCUGGAGCAGCUCCCUGAGCCUCACUGCAGACCAGUGGAGGAAGGCGGGCUCAGUGAGCUGUGAGGCCAGUCUGAAUGGACAGAGCCCUGUCACUCAAACCCUGGAGCCUGACCGCUGCUCAGAGUAGAGUUUCAGCAACACUUCCUGUCUGGAAAUUAUGCUUCUGAUACUUUCAUCAAGCUGCACAUCUUCUCUCUUCUGAUAUUUGCUCAACACGCGACCGUCCUUUCAUUUCUGCACGAUUCUGCUCUUUAACAAUUAUUAUAAAAAUGCUGAUGAAAUUUCAUGCGCAUGAAAGAAUAAACUGACAUUUAAUAAAAUCAC